rnacentral:rRNA from 1 species
GAUGAACGCUGGCGGCGUGCCUAAUACAUGCAAGUCGAGCGAACGGACGAGAAGCUUGCUUCUCUGAUGUUAGCGGCGGACGGGUGAGUAACACGUGGAUAACCUACCUAUAAGACUGGGAUAACUUCGGGAAACCGGAGCUAAUACCGGAUGAUAUUUUGAACCGCAUGGUUCAAAAGUGAAAGACGGUCUUGCUGUCACUUAUAGAUGGAUCCGCGCUGCAUUAGCUAGUUGGUAAGGUAACGGCUUACCAAGGCAACGAUGCAUAGCCGACCUGAGAGGGGUAUCGGCCACACUGGAACUGAGACACGGUCCAGACUCCUACGGGAGGCAGCAGUAGGGAAUCUUCCGCAAUGGGCGAAAGCCUGACGGAGCAACGCCGCGUGAGUGAUGAAGGUCUUCGGAUCGUAAAACUCUGUUAUUAGGGAAGAACAUAUGUGUAAGUAACUGUGCACAUCUUGACGGUACCUAAUCAGAAAGCCACGGCUAACUACGUG